AUCAACUUCUAAUCAUGCUAACAAAACAAAAUACAAUUAGGCAAAAACUAAAAUUCUAAAAACGUCAAAUUAAAACAGAGAAGUAUCAUAAAAUAUGGUCGGUGAUAAUUUAGCUGAUGCUUUAAAAUAAAUUAUAGCCGGGGGAUUGACUCAGCCGUGACAGGGCGUGAUUUCAACUGGAAGUGUGCCGGGCGGCAGGGGGAUUGCGCGCUGCGCUUAAGUGUUGAAUUUGGAUGUCAGUUUGGAGGACGCAAUGUCUGGCAGGGCAUUUGCUUUAUUUUGCUCCAGUGUGUGUGUGCGUGUGUGUUGAUGUGGGUGUUGGUACUGUGCGACAGUGCAAUGGCAAUUGCAUAAUAAGUGAGCUACUUCAAAGGGUGCCAGCAGCGGGAGCAACUGCAAUGCCUCUUUAAUUUAUAGCCUUAUUGAAAAUUCCAAACGAUUCUCAAAUGUGUUCAGCAACAGAGCGAUGUGGGGCAGUAGUUAGUGGGCGGAGUGGAGCGGGGCAGUCAUUAAUCUUUUUUGCAGCUAAGAGGGUCCACAAGCUGCACAAGCUGGACAAGCUGGACAAGAUCUGCCACAGAGGGCUCAGAGGGGUCAGUGUCUCGUGCUGCUUGGUUAGCUGCCACUUCUGCUGCCGCUUGAUUUCUUAGUUGCCAAUAAAACAACGUAAUAAGA